rnacentral:pre_miRNA from 1 species
GGCUACCAUCCCCAAUUUACCAGGAACUGGUAUCAACCCAGCUCGUAGUCUUGGUGCAGCAAUCAUCUUCAACAAGGACAAGGGCUGGGAUGAUCACUGGAUUUCUGGUGGGUCCGAUUCAUUGGUAGCA